rnacentral:lncRNA from 1 species
UUUAGAACAAAAGGAUUCUGAUACUCCUUCUCCAAGUGGGAGGCCAAUCCCAUUGCGUGCUUUGGUAUGCCUUGACUUAUAAAGAUUAAAGGAGUUAUUUAAUACUAAAAGUUUGUUGGCAUGGAGGUUGUAUGUGCUGAUUACUAGUGGACAUCUUUGCAGUAUAAAUGAUGCAGCGACUGAAAGUAUUAGGUGCAGAGCUGGGUUGUUUACCGAUUGCAGAAGUGGGGUUGUUGCUGGAUAUGGGAUGAUUAUGCUACUUGAAGACCUGCAUAGGAUCUGCAACUCUAUUGCCAAAUUAAUCUCUCUAAGUAUAUAAGGGAAUAUAUGGGGGGAUUGGAUGGUUUAGAGCUGAGCUGCUUUUGGGGAAUAUUAGUCAUUUUUAUACAAUUGAAUGAGGUCUUGCUUUGAAAUUUGAUCAUUAAAUUUGUUGUUUCUGAUAUUAUAAUUGCAGGAUAAGAGCUGAGCUGCUUUUGGGGAAUAUUAGUCAUUUUUAUACAAUUGAAUGAGGUCUUGCUUUGAAAUUUGAUCAUUAAAUUUGUUGUUUCUGAUAUUAUAAUUGCAGGAUGAGUAUGCUGCUCGUAACCUUGUGCUUUAGUUCAUAGUUGAGUCUCAUGUGGUGUGUGUUCUGGGUUAACUGGUUUUAAUGAAGGCUUGGAUUCCCAAAGAUAAUGGUUGUUGUGAAGGAGAGUGAUGUCAAUGAUUAUUAGGGAGUAUUGUUAGGCUUGUAAAGCUUGGAGCAGAUAUUAUAGUGAGAAGAAUUUUGCUUUUCAUUUCAUGUAAGGAUGAGUUGUCUUGCUAGUUUGGUGGGAUAAAAAUUUCAAAAGGCAUAUGACUAGGAUUGAUUUUUUCUGGUUUUCCUAGUCUUACUGAAAUAUCUGGAUUUGCUUGGUUUUAUUCUGGUUUUCCUAGUCUUACUGAAAUAUCUGGAUUUGCUUGGUUUUAUUUCUUUUGUAAUAUGUGAGUUCUCUCUCAUUUGUUAAGAGAAAUGUACUAUUGCGCUUCCUGUGCCUUGUUUUAAUGAAUUUUCUUUUCAUAAAUAAAAACUUCAGUGUUAUGUUAAUUUAAGUACUCUGUUUCAAUUCAGACAAUAAGACCCAACUUCUACUUUACCAAACACCUCUUUUAU